AAUGAACGCUGGCGGCAGGCCUAACACAUGCAAGUCGAACGAGUGGCGGACGGGUGAGUAAUGUCUGGGAAACUGCCUGAUGGAGGGGGAUAACUACUGGAAACGGUAGCCAAUACCGCAUACUAUCAGAGGUGCCCAGAUGGGAUUAGCUAGUUGGUGGGGUAACGGCUCACCAAGGCGACGAUCCCUAGCUGUUCUGAGAGGUUGACCAGCAACAUGGGACCGGGAACACGGCCCAGCUUCCUACGGAGGGCGGAAGUGGGGAAUAUUACACAAGGGGGGAAAUCCUGAUGAGGCAAGGGCGCGUGUAUGGGGAAUGCCUUCGGGUUGUAAAGUACGUUCAGCGGGGAGGCGUUACCGGAAGAAGAAGCACCGGCUAACUCCGUGCCAGCCGCCGCGGUAAUAC
rnacentral:rRNA from 1 species